rnacentral:rRNA from 1 species
GAAGCCUUUCGGGGUGGAUUAGUGGCGAACGGGUGAGUAACACGUGGGCAAUCUGCCCUUCACUCUGGGACAAGCCCUGGAAACGGGGUCUAAUACCGGAUAACACUCUGUCCCGCAUGGGACGGGGUUAAAAGCUCCGGCGGUGAAGGAUGAGCCCGCGGCCUAUCAGCUUGUUGGUGGGGUGAUGGCCUACCAAGGCGACGACGGGUAGCCGGCCUGAGAGGGCGACCGGCCACACUGGGACUGAGACACGGCCCAGACUCCUACGGGAGGCAGCAGUGGGGAAUAUUGCACAAUGGGCGAAAGCCUGAUGCAGCGACGCCGCGUGAGGGAUGACGGCCUUCGGGUUGUAAACCUCUUUCAGCAGGGAAGAAGCGAAAGUGACGGUACCUGCAGAAGAAGCGCCGGCUAACUACGUGCCAGCAGCCGCGGUAAUACGUAGGGCGCAAGCGUUGUCCGGAAUUAUUGGGCGUAAAGAGCUCGUAGGCGGCUUGUCACGUCGGAUGUGAAAGCCCGGGGCUUAACCCCGGGUCUGCAUUCGAUACGGGCUAGCUAGAGUGUGGUAGGGGAGAUCGGAAUUCCUGGUGUAGCGGUGAAAUGCGCAGAUAUCAGGAGGAACACCGGUGGCGAAGGCGGAUCUCUGGGCCAUUACUGACGCUGAGGAGCGAAAGCGUG